UCCUUGUCGCUCUGAAAUUCCUC
rnacentral:siRNA from 1 species